ACAGAUGUUGUGUAUAGUGCUUGAGGACAGGUUUUACAUGACAUGUAUUUUCCAAAAUACCAGUUCACCUGCCAUUUCACUAACGCAAGGAAAUCACACAAGCAUUCCGGUUUUCUAAGUUUAAGCUGCCCAGUGACCAUGAGUUUAAAAACUAAGGAGGGGACUUUCCUCUGUUUUAACUCCCUCAUUAGCGAAUGAUAGAUCUGCAGUUGAGAUGCAAACCUGAUUCUAAGGUAGAGGGGGCAAGGUAUAUUUGUUUAUUAUUUUUGUUAUCUAUGGUUGAGAUGCAA
rnacentral:lncRNA from 1 species